UGGUCUUGACAUCCACGGAAGUUUUCAGAGAUGAGAAUGUGCCUUCGGGAACCGUGAGACAGGUGCUGCAUGGCUGUCGUCAGCUCGUGUUGUGAAAUGUUGGGUUAAGUCCCGCAACGAGCGCAACCCUUAUCCUUUGUUGCCAGCGGUCCGGCCGGGAACUCAAAGGAGACUGCCAGUGAUAAACUGGAGGAAGGUGGGGAUGACGUCAAGUCAUCAUGGCCCUUACGACCAGGG
rnacentral:rRNA from 1 species